GCUUAGAGUUUGAUCCUGGCUCAGGAUGAACGCUGGCGGCGUGCUUAACACAUGCAAGUCGAACGAGAAGCCCACUUCGGUGGGUGGAGAGUGGCGCACGGGUGCGUAACACGUAGCUCACCUGCCCUCAAGACGGGGAUAACGGUUGGAAACAGCCGCUAAUACCCGAUAAGCUCCCGCGCUGUAGAGGCGUGCGAGAAAAGCGCUAGCGCUUGAGGAUGGGGCUGCGGUCCAUCAGCUGGAUGGUGAGGUAACGGCUCACCAUGGCAACGACGGAUAGGGGACCUGAGAGGGUGACCCCCCACACUGGCACUGAGACACGGGCCAGACUCCUACGGGAGGCAGCAGUGAGGAAUAUUGCACAAUGGGCGCAAGCCUGAUGCAGCGACGCCGCGUGGGCGAUGAAGGUCUUCGGAUCGUAAAGCCCUUUUCUGCGUGACGAGAACGGACGGUAGCGCAGGAAUAAGUCUCGGCUAACUACGUGCCAGCAGCCGCGGUAAAACGUAGGAGGCGAGCGUUAUCCGGAGUUACUGGGCGUAAAGCGCGUGUAGGCGGUACGGAGGGUCUGAUGUGAAAGCUCCCAGGCUAAACCGGGAGAGGUCAUUGGAAACGGCCGUGCUAGAGGGUGAUAGAGGGGCGUGGAAUUCCGG
rnacentral:rRNA from 1 species